GCCGCGUUGGCCUAAUGGUAGGGCGUCGCUUUCCUAUCUGAUCAUGAUUAGCUAAUCAUGAGGCGAAGCUUGCGGGUUCGAGUCCCGUACGCGGUA